AGCGUGCCCGGGGCGAGCGCCUGCAAGAGGUUGUUCCCCAGGUACAGCUCUUCCAGCCGCGAGAGCUUCUCGAAGGUCUUGGGGUGCAGAGAGCGGAUCUGGUUGUACUGCAGGUCCAGCCGUCUGAGCUGCCCCAGACGGUGGAAGUCGAAGGCCGUGAUGUUGGUUAUGAAGUUGCCGCCGAGGCUGUAGGUGCCACCCUGCGGGAAGUUUGGGCAGCACGGAGUCCGCCAGCAUUCUACAGGAAGUUUGGGGGAGCACAAGGUUGCCUGCAGAAGGCCAUCAGAAGGGGAGAGUGAUCUGCCUGCUCCCCGCAGUUGAGAGUGCUGCACUGCAAGUGUUACCUGGAGAGAAUGAAAUGGAAAUAAUGUUCUGGGACUUUUGAGUACAGGCCUUAAAAGGACUGGCAUCUUCUGCUUUUCCAUUUGGAACACCAGCCUGCUGUAUUGUGGAAAAGUCCAGGCCAGGACACUACAUGAUUAGAGGUGGUAUGGAGAGAGCACUGGAGGAGAGGAGAUCAUCUUGGAUGUCCCAGCUUUAGCCAAACUCCCAGCUGAAUGCAGCUGCACAUGUGACCUCAGCCUACCCCAUCUGAAUCAGACCCACCCAGCUGAGCUCACUCAAUCCACAUAUUUGUGAGAAAUAAUAAAUUGUUUGAAGCCACUAAGUUUUGGAGUGAUUUAUUAUUCCAUGAUAAAUAACUGAAAAAGGGAAAUAUUUUCUGAUGAUUCUUUAAUCCUUUUCCUGAAAGAUCCAUCUUGCCUAUCUUGGAAUCUUGAUAUGAGUUAAAAACCAAGGCCUGAUCCAUCUUUCUAAGGCAGAUAUAAGAC
rnacentral:lncRNA from 10 species